CAGUCGUACCGACGAGAAAUCAACUUAUCGUGUGCGAACUUGUGGACGUGCGUGAGUUUCGGCCUCGCUGUUUACAUGUUCGUUCGCUUUGGGUGUACUUUUUCGUAUGGUAGGCCAACGUCAGUUUCGAUUAUCAUAAAAUGACCGGCGGAAUGUAGCUUCGAUUUCGGUUGAAGUGUUAUAGCCUCUGGUAGAUGUGGUGAUUGGGACUGAGGAUUGCAACGAAUACCCUUUGGGCUAUCCGUCUGGCCUCUGAAAGUUGCUCAGGUGCCGAAAGCGUGCUUACGGUCAUCUAAGAUAACGUUCAACAGGUUAGAACGUGAUUACAUUCGUUAAGGACGUUGGCGUAAUGGCUUUAAACGA
rnacentral:rRNA from 1 species